rnacentral:rRNA from 1 species
UAGGGAAUCUUCGGCAAUGGACGAAAGUCUGACCGAGCAACGCCGCGUGAGUGAAGAAGGUUUUCGGAUCGUAAAACUCUGUUGUUAGAGAAGAACAAGGACGUUAGUAACUGAACGUCCCCUGACGGUAUCUAACCAGAAAGCCACGGCUAACUACGUGCCAGCAGCCGCGGUAAUACGUAGGUGGCAAGCGUUGUCCGGAUUUAUUGGGCGUAAAGCGAGCGCAGGCGGUUUCUUAAGUCUGAUGUGAAAGCCCCCGGCUCAACCGGGGAGGGUCAUUGGAAACUGGGAGAUUUGAGUGCAGAAGAGGGGAGUGGAAUUCCAUGUGUAGCGGUGAAAUGCGUAGAUAUAUGGAGGAACACCAGUGGCGAAGGCGGCUCUCUGGUCUGUAACUGACGCUGAGGCUCGAAAGCGUGGGGAGCAAACAGG